AUUGAACGCUGGCGGCAGGCUUAACACAUGCAAGUAGAGCGAGGGGCGGACGGGUGAGUAAUGUCUGGGAAACUGCCUGAUGGAGGGGGAUAACUACUGGAAACGGUCGCUAAUACCGCAUACCAUCAGAUGUGCCCAGAUGGGAUUAGCUAGUAGGUGGGGUAAUGGCUCACCUAGGCGACGAUCCCUAGCUGGUCUGAGAGGAUGACCAGCCAAACUGGAACUGAGACACGGUCCAGACUCCUACGGAAGGCAGCAGUGGGGAAUAUGGCACAAUGGGGGCAAGCCUGAUGCAGCCAUGCCGCGUGUGUGAAGAAGGCCUUCGGGUUGUAAAGCACUUUCAGCGAGGAGGCGUUACUCGCAGAAGAAGCACCGGCUAACUCCGUGCCAGCAGCCGCGGUAAUAC
rnacentral:rRNA from 1 species